GCCAUUCGUAGAGCGCGAGGAAAGGAGGUCAUAUACAAUGGAGGUACGUCUCGGUACCUAGUCCUGAUUUAGGAAUUUUUUUAUUUUACAAUUUCACUUCUUUAACAAUUAAAAUUAAUAAUUUUAUUGAAGAUGUUGAAGAAAUUUUAUGUAAAUUGGGAGUCAGAGUUUGAUCCAUUAAGCCCGCCCCGUAACAAAAAUGUUGAUAUCCUCAAGUUAUAUGAAGAUCAAUUGCAAGAGCUGAAGGACAAACUUACUAAGAAGAGCAAGAUACUGAGG